rnacentral:tRNA from 1 species
UCCAUGAUGGUCUAGUGGCUAGGAUUCGGCGUUUUCACCGCCGCGGCCCGGGUUCGAUUCCUGGUCAGGGAA